rnacentral:rRNA from 1 species
AUGACUGCUAAUACCGCAUAAGACCACAGCACCGCAUGGUGCGGGGGUAAAAACUCCGGUGGUAUGAGAUGGACCCGCGUCUGAUUAGCUAGUUGGUAAGGUAAAGGCUCACCUAGGCGACGAUCCCUAGCUGGUCUGAGAGGAUGACCGGCCACAUUGGGACUGAGACACGGCCCAAACUCCUACGGGAGGCAGCAGUGGGGAAUAUUGCACAAUGGGGGAAACCCUGAUGCAGCGACGCCGCGUGAGCGAAGAAGUAUUUCGGUAUGUAAAGCUCUAUCAGCAGGGAAGAAAAUGACGGUACCUGACUAAGAAGCACCGGCUAAAUACGUGCCAGCAGCCGCGGUAAUACGUAUGGUGCAAGCGUUAUCCGGAUUUACUGGGUGUAAAGGGAGCGUAGACGGAUGGGCAAGUCUGAUGUGAAAACCCGGGGCUCAACCCCGGGACUGCAUUGGAAACUGUUCAUCUAGAGUGCUGGAGAGGUAAGUGG